CGCGUAUGUCAAUGGGUAGCUUGCUCUAUCACUUAGCGGCGGACGGGUGAGUAAUGCUUAGGAAUCUGCCUAUUAGUGGGGGACAACGUUUCGAAAGGGAUGCUAAUACCGCAUACGUCCUACGGGAGAAAGCAGGGGAUCAUUUGUGACCUUGCUCUUAUAUAUGACCCUAACUCGUAUUAUCUAGUUGGUGGGGUAGGGGCCUACCAGGGAGAAUAUCUGUCUGGGCUCUGAGAGGAAGAUCCCCCACUCUGGCUCAGACACACGCCCCACACUCACACGAGAGGCAACAGUGGAAAAUAUUGCACAGUGGGAAAAACCGUGAUCCACCCGUGCCGCGUGUGUGAAAAAACUCUUAUUUUUGUAAAACUUUUUAUUCGAGGAAGAGGCUCUUUUGGUUAAUACCCAAGAUGAGAGGAUGUUACUCGCAGAAUAAGCACCGGCUAAUUCUGUGCCAGCAGCCGCGGUAAUAAAGAGGGGGGAGGCGUUCAUCAUUUUUACUGGGGGUAAGGCCCGCGGAGGCGGCCUAUUAAGUCAGAUGAGAAACCCCGCAGGUUAUCUUGGGAGUUGCUUUCAAUACUGUUUGGCUAUAGUGUGGAAGAGGAUGGGAGAUUUCCUUGUGGGGCGGUGAGGUGCGUACAGAUCUGGAGGAAUACCGCUGGCGAAAGCCCCCCUCUCGGCGAACGAAGACGCUGAGUUGCGAAACCGUGGGGGAGCCCACAGUAUUAGAUCCCCUGGGCGUCCAUGCCGCAGGAGAGGCCUACUCCCCGGUGGGGUCCCUCAAAAUUUAGUGGCGCUUCUACGCAAUGAGGAAAAUUCCGGGGAGUACGGUCGCUCUACAAAACUCAUAAUAAAUGACUUCCGCGGCACAGCGGGGUAUCUUGUU
rnacentral:rRNA from 1 species